GACGAACGCUGGCGGCGUGCUUAACACAUGCAAGUCGAGCGGAGCGGCGAACGGGUGAGUAACGCGUGAGUAACUGCCCCCCUCUCUGGGAUAACAGUUGGAAACGGCUGCUAAUACCGGAUAGUGGGGGAUGACUCGGGUCCUAUCAGCUUGUUGGUGGGGUAGUGGCCUACCAAGGCGACGACGGGUAGCCGGCCUGAGAGGGCGACCGGCCACAUUGGGCUGAGAUACGGCCCAAACUCCUACGGGAGGCAGCAGUGGGGAAUAUUGCACAAUGGGCGCAAGCCUGAUGCAGCGACGCCGCGUGGGGGAUGAAGGCCUUCGGGUUGUAAACUCCUUUCGCUAGGGACGCGGUACCUGGAGAAGAAGCACCGGCUAACUACGUGCCAGCAGCCGCGGUAAUAC
rnacentral:rRNA from 1 species